AGCAGCCGCGGUAAUUCCAGCUCCAAUAGCGUAUAUUAAAGUUGCUGCAGUUAAAAAGCUCGUAGUUGAAUUUCGGGGUUAGUAGGUUGGUCAUGCCUCUGGUAUGUACUGGUCUCACUGAUUCCUCCUUCCUGAUGAACCUUAAUGCCAUUAAUUUGGUGUUUUGGGGAAUUUGGACUGUUACUUUGAAAAAAUUAGAGUGUUUAAAGCAAGCUAACACUUGAAUACAUUAGCAUGGAAUAAUGAAAUAGGACGUUCGAUCCUAUUUUGUUGGUUUCUAGGAUUGACGUAAUGAUUAAUAGGGAUAGUUGGGGGCAUUAGUAUUCAAUUGUCAGAGGUGAAAUUCUUGGAUUUAUUGAAGACUAACUACUGCGAAAGCAUUUGCCAAGGAUGUUUUCAUUAAUCAAGAACGAAAGUUAGGGGAUCGAAGACGAUCAGAUACCGUCGUAGUCUUAACCAUAAACUAUGCCGACUAGGGAUCGGAUGAUGUUAAUUUUUAAUGACUCAUUCGGCGCCUUAC
rnacentral:rRNA from 1 species